rnacentral:rRNA from 1 species
AGCUGAUCCAGCCAUGCCGCGUGUGUGAAGAAGGUCUUCGGAUUGUAAAGCUCUUUAAGUUGGGAGGAAGGGCAGUAAGCUAAUACCUUGCUGUUUUGACGUUACCAACAGAAUAAGCACCGGCUUACUUCGUGCCAGCAGCCGCGGUAAU